AUGUUACUGACUUCACUUCUGACCGUGCUGCUGCUCACACUUCAAGGUUCAGGUGCCAGUCAUUCUGUGACUCAGUCUCCUGCAUCAAAGUCUGUUGGUCUGGGGCAGACGGUCUCUCUGAGCUGUACAGCCAGUACAGGAGUUGAUGAUGAUCUCAGCUGGUACCUACAGAAACCUGGACAGCCUCCCAAACUGUUGUUUUACAAAAUAAGUACACGUGCAUCUGGUACUCCGAGUCAUUUCAGCAGCAGUGGAUCUGAACCUCAAUUCACUCUGACAAUCAAUGGAUUGAAGGCUGAAGAUGCAGGAGAUUACUACUGUAUGGGAGCUUAUAGGGGCCCAGUGUUACCACAGUGA